AUGGCCUCCCCAGCUCAGCUCCUCUGCUUUCUCUUGCUCUGGCUCCCAGGUUCAGAAGGGGAAAUUGUUUUGACCCAGUCUCCUACGUCCCUGCCUGUGUCUCUGGGAGAGAGAGUCACCAUCAAGUGCAAGGCCAGUCAGAGCCUCUUACACAGUGAUGGGAACACUUACUUACAGUGGUUCCAACAGAAACCAGGAAAAUCUAUUAAAGCACUGAUCUACAGAGUUUCCAAUCUAUACUCUGGGGUUCCCCCUCGGUUCAGUGGCAGUGGGUCUGGGACGGAUUUCACCCUCACAAUCAGCAGUCUGGAGCCUGAGGAUGCUGCCAUGUAUUACUGUCAUCAAAAUACUCACUGGCCUACACAGUGCUUCAGCCCUGAACAAAAACCUCCCCAUACCACUCAGACCUGA